GCUCCUAUAGUGUAGCGGUUAGCACGUGGGAUUUUGAUUCCCGAGACGACAGUUCGAAUCUGUCUUGGAGCU